CUGUGUGUUACAUUUAAAAAAGCAACUUAAUUUGAAAUGUUUUGCAACAACAGAGGAACUACAGAGUGUCUAAGUUCAUAUUCUGGAAUAAAUUUAUCACAUGAAUCAUUAAGAGGUUAGAAAUCCACCAAUGACUCUGUACAAAUAGAGGAAGAAAACAACUCAGAGGAAGAGGGCGGGCUUUACUUGGUGUCAGUGACAGAAAUGAAAAAAGCUCAAAUGAGUGAGAAGGACGAUGAAGGAAACAUCUGUGCUGUGUCUGCUCUUUCUGAUCUCACUGCUGAGCUGCACAACAAACCAAGGUCAGUAACCUUCUUCUGUCACAGUUUAAACCUGAGAAAUGCUCACUGAUAUGACCUGAUUGGGUUCAUGUUUCAGAAUGUAAAGU